rnacentral:rRNA from 1 species
AAUCAACGCUGGCGGCGUGCCUAACACAUGCAAGUCGAACGCGAAAGUGGAGCAAUCCAUGAGUAGAGUGGCAAACGGGUGAGUAACGCGUGGGCGACCUACCUCUGAGUGGGGGAUAACCUUCCGAAAGGAGGGCUAAUACCGCAUGACAUCCCGUGUUUGGAUACACGGACAUCAAAGCCGGGGAUCGCAAGACCUGGCGCUUGGAGAGGGGCCCGCGUCCGAUUAGCUAGUUGGUGAGGUAACGGCUCACCAAGGCUCCGAUCGGUAUCCGGCCUGAGAGGGCGGACGGACACACUGGAACUGAGACACGGUCCAGACUCCUACGGGAGGCAGCAGUGGGGAAUUGUUCACAAUGGGCGCAAGCCUGAUGACGCAACGCCGCGUGGAGGAUGAAGACUUUCGGGUCGUAAACUCCUUUCGACCGAGAUGAAUUCUCGCCGGCCUAACAUGCCGGCGGGGUGACAGUAUCGAGGGAAGAAACCCCGGCUAACUCUGUGC